rnacentral:sRNA from 1 species
UAUGAACUACAUAUGGUCCAAUAUCCGA